UACGGGGGGGGCAAGCGUUGUUCGGAAUUACUGGGCGUAAAGGGCUCGUAGGCGGCCAACUAAGUCAGACGUGAAAUCCCCAGGCUUAACCUGGGAACUGCGUCUGAUACUGGAUGGCUUGAAUUCGGGAGAGGGAUGCAGAAUUCCAGGUGUAGCGGUGAAAUGCGUAGAUAUCUGGAGGAAUACCGGUGGCGAAGGCGGCACCCUGGACCGAGAUUGACGCUGAUGAGCGAAAGCUAGGGGAGCAAACGGG
rnacentral:rRNA from 1 species